AUUGAACGCUGGCGGCAGGCUUAACACAUGCAAGUCGAGCGGGGUGAUGGUGCUUGCACUAUCACUUAGCGGCGGACGGGUGAGUAAUGCUUAGGAAUCUGCCUAUUAGUGGGGGACAACAUCUCGAAAGGGAUGCUAAUACCGCAUACGUCCUACGGGAGAAAGCAGGGGAUCACUUGUGACCUUGCGCUAAUAGAUGAGCCUAAGUCGGAUUAGCUAGUUGGUGGGGUAAAGGCCUACCAAGGCGACGAUCUGUAGAGGGUCUGAGAGGAUGAUCCGCCACACUGGGACGGGGACACGGCCCAGACUGCUACGGGAGGCAGCAGGGGGGGAUAUUGGACAAUGGGGGGAACCCCGAUCCAGCCAUGCCGCGUGUGUGAAGAAGGCCUUAUGGUUGUAAAGCACUUUAAGCGAGGAGGAGGCUCUUUUGGUUAAUACCCAAGAUGAGUGGACGUUACUCGCAGAAUAAGCACCGGCUAACUCUGUGCCAGCAGCCGCCGUAA
rnacentral:rRNA from 1 species